ensembl:snoRNA SNORD83 Small nucleolar RNA SNORD83
GCCACAUGAUGAACUGAAUGGCAGCAGUAGCUCUCGGGCUGUGAUGACCUGCUAUCUAUCACCCUUUUCUGAUGGCU